rnacentral:rRNA from 1 species
CAUGGCUCAGAAUGAACGCUGGCGGCGUGCCUAACACAUGCAAGUCGGAUGUGCCGCAAGGUGCAUGGCAGACGGGUGAGUAACGCGUGGGGAAUCUACCUCUUUGUGGGGAAUAACGCUCCGAAAGGAGUGGUAAUACCGCAUGAGAUCCAUGGCUGGGAUGCUGUGGAUGAAACCUGGGGACCGCAAGGCCUGGGGCAAGGAGAGGAUCCUGCGUCUGAUUAGCUAGUUGGUGAGGUAACGGCCCACCAAGGCAACGAUCAGUAGCCGGCCUGAGAGGGUGAUCGGCCACACUGGAACUGAGACACGGUCCAGACUCCUACGGGAGGCAGCAGUGGGGAAUUUUGCGCAAUGGGCGAAAGCCUGACGCAGCAACGCCGCGUGGGUGAUGAAGGUCUUCGGAUCGUAAAACCCUGUCGUCGGGGACGAAGGUUUGGGCGUUAAUAGCGCUUAAGCUUGACGGUACCCGGAGAGGAAGCCCCGGCUAACUCUGUGCCAGCAGCCGCGGUAAUACAGAGGGGGCAAGCGUUAUUCGGAAUUAUUGGGCGUAAAGGGCGCGUAGGCGGCUUUUUAAGUGAGAUGUGUAAUCCCCGAGCUCAACUUGGGAACUGCAUCUCAUACUGGGAGGCUAGAGUACUGGAGAGGGUGGUAGAAUUCCACGUGUAGCGGUGAAAUGCGUAGAGAUGUGGAGGAAUACCAGUGGCGAAGGCGGUCACCUGGACAGUAACUGACGCUGAGGCGCGAAAGUGUGGGUAGCAAACAGGAUUAGAUACCC